rnacentral:lncRNA from 1 species
AGAUGAAGUGUGACAUUCUGGGAGGACACCUGUCAUUGGGUUGUUAGUGUAUCAUUGCAUUGGGCCUGCUUGAACACGAUAUUCUAGCACAGAGAGAAAAGUGUCCCUUGGGAGCUUGCUACAGUAGGGUCCUGCUAGGAGGUCUGUUGAUGUCAGGAGGUGCAGGGCUUAGAAGAAGGUGCAUUAGUCCUUCAGGCUGCUUAGUGCAGAUGGAACAAGUACUUAUAUAUCACAUAUGCAGCAUCCUUAGGGAUCCUGUGUGUUGCUGUGAACAGGCUGCAUUAGCAAAUGGUGAAAUGCUUCAUCAGUUUAGAUAAACUGUCUUGCCAUGCUCAUAUUCUAGGUCUUAUCAACAAUCCCAGCUGCUUGCUUUGAUCAUUUCAGUUGGUUUUUAACUAGAUUGGUUUUGACUAAAUUAUAAAAUAUAAUUUCCAAGGGUAGAGUCCCAUGGUACUUCAGACUCCAGGUUAAAACAUCUGGAAAAUUUUCCUGUCUGAUACAUAAGAAGUGGAACUGGGAGUUCCCGUCAUGGUGCAGUGGUUAACGAAUCCGACUAGGAAUGCUGAGCUUGCGGGUUCGAUCUCUGGCCUUGCUCAGUGGGUUAAGGAUCUGGCGUCGCAGUGAGCUGUGGUGUAGGUUGCAGAUGUGGCUCGGAUCCCAUGUUGCUAUGGCUCUGGCGUAGGCCGGCAGCUACAGAUCUGAUUCGACCCCUAGCCUGGGAAUCUCCAUAUGCCACGAGGGCGGCCCUAGAAAAAUACAAAGAAAAAAGAAAGAAAGAAAAAAAAGAAGUGGAACCGUAAAUGUUCUUAAAAGGGCUGCAAUAUCUCCAGCUUGGCUGACAUUAAACUGUCAUGUUUUUCUCUAAGAUUGCUGUCAUCUGUUGCCAGACACCUGACCUCUUGUAUAAAGUUUCUAAGGCUUAGAUAGGAGUUUGAUAGCUAGAAACUCUUUCUCCCCCCUUAAGACACUUGUUCUCCCAUUUAAAGGGGAAGGACUAGGGCAGCAGCCCUUGGAUAUAAAGUCAUUUUAGACUUGGUGUCCUAUACUAAUUGCCAUAGGCAUUCGUUGUAAUACAGAGGGAGCGAAAGAUUUUGUUUUUGAUUGAGGCAUAGUUGAUUUACAGUGUUGUGCCGAUUUCUGCUAUACAGCCAAAUGACCCAGGCAUACACAUAUAUGCAUUCAUUUUCUCCUACUAUCUUCUAUCAUGUUCUAGCCCAAGAGAUUAGAUAUAUUUCUCUGUGCUAUAGAGUAGGGUCUCACUGCUUGAGAGUUCAGGGAGAGCAGAUGGAAAGUUAUUUUAAAAUGUAAGUUCCAUCUCAAAGCUAGUUAGACAUGUGCUACAAUCAAAGUAAAGCCAAGUCCAUGUGACCUAUUCUUCCUCCAGUGUUGUAUUCUAAGAAAUUCCAUGCCUGCAUCUUAAAGAAAUUUUAAAACAUUUAUAUCUUAAUGCACUCUCUUGAGAAAACAACAAAUGGGGGUUAUUUUUCUAAUGCAACGAAAAAGUUCUUAAAGAUUCUAUUUCCCUAACUCUUUCAACUCUUCCUCUCGGAAUCUUACAGAGACUUUUCUGAAUCCUCUCAGCUCUUGCUAAAAUCCCAGAAAAAUUCUUCAUCUACUCAGUCUGAGUGAAAUCUUCUCUUCGCUUCUCCUCCCAUGCUCUUUUGUGGACCAGACCCACCAGUGGUUUUCCAUACUUUAAAAAAAAAUAAACAAACUAAAGUUGGUUUUGUGUCUCUCGCUUUUCCCAGUCAAUCAUCAUCCCAAUUCUAAACAAUGAAGAGACAGAAAUUGAGCAGGGAGUCUGAUUUCUCUUAAGCAGAGAGAGAGGAGAAUUUUCUUGUCACACAAACUGACCCCCAGAUUUCUCAUUUCUCCAGCAAAUGAAUAUAUUGUAUACCUAUUGACUCUAAAGUUGCACCAGCCUCAUUUGAAUUCAGAGCUGCCAAUGUUGAAUAUUUGACUUUGGGCAAAUCAGGCACUUUCUCCUCUCUCAGUGGUGUUAUUAAUAGCUUCAACCCAGGGAUGUUGAGAGGAUUCCUUGGAUCAUAUAGGGGAGGUUUCUGUUGUGAAUGGCACUCAGUUAGCUUGCAGCAAAAACUAGUUUCCUUUGAAUAGGGCUCUGCCUGUGAUAAUUAUAACUGGCCAGUCAUAAUUAUGAUGAUUGGUUCACCACUUUUUUCUUGGGCAUGUUAAGACGAGUUCAAAAAUUUGUCCAAAGAGAUUGGUUGCUUUUACAUUUGACCUUGAACUGUAUAAUGCUCAUGCUGCAAAUAAUUUUAAAAGGCUUAAUAUUUGAAUACCAGGAAAAGAACACGGAGAGAAUAAAUUUUAACGUGGUUCUUGGCAAAUUCAUUCUCAUACAUGAAGCUGGAUAUUUUAAGGGGGUGCUUUCUCUUAUUUCUUCACUUAUGUUGACAGAAAUCCCUUGAACAUGAUCAGUGCUAAAGUCUCACUAUGGAUACUAUUUAAUAUCCUCACCUUCUAGAAUUGAAAAUAUCCUCCAUCUGGAGUUCCCAUCAUGGCUCAGUGGAAACAAAUCUGACCAAAAUCAUGAGGAAGCAAGUUCGAUCCCUGGCCUUGCUCAGUGGGUUAAGGAUCCAGGGUUGCCAUGGAGCUCUGGUGUAGGUUGCAGACGAGGCUCGGAUCCCACUUUGAUGUGGCUGUGAUUCGAUUCGACACCUAGUCUGGGAACCUCCAUAUGCCAUGAGUGUGGCCCUUAAAAAACAAAACAAAAAAAAAUCUUUUUAAAAAUUUUUUUCCUCUAUCCCUAUUGACUUUCACUUGCCUUUGUCUGUUUUUUGUAAUUAACUGUAAAAGAGUGGUUCUCAUAAAUGUGGCAUGACCCUUUUAUUUUAAAAUAGUUUUUAUUACUGUUUACAUUUGUUUCAAGGGAAAUAGUCACAUAAUUUAAGUAUCAGCCUAAUCCUCAAGUAGAGCAGUUCUGGUGUACUUUGCAUUAAUGUGUUUAUAUCUAAAAAUGGAACAACAUGCUGAGUCAGUAAGAAGAGAAGCCUUCUUAAGCCUUUAGAAGUCAUUUUAACUGAGCUGAAAAAUUUGCUUUCAUCGAAUCAGUGGUCCACUAGAACAACUAAUUAAUAUAUAACUCAGAAAUUCUUUUAAAUCAAGAUGUUUAUAUUUUUCUUAAAGAAUCAUAGUUUGCAUCAAGGUACUUUAAUCAGUUGGGGUCAGAUGGAUGGACUGUAUCUGUGUUAGUAUAUGUUUUAUUCAACAAGAACGAAUAUUCUUUCGCUCAGGGAUUUAGGGAAUGAAGUUGUUCAUUUAUGAAAACAAAAAUACCAAAGAUGUCUCAGAGUAAAUACAACUCAAGCUGAAAAGGGCCUUUGUAUUUGAAAAUAGAAAGUCCCUAAUCAUUUUUUUUUUUUUUAAUAAUGCGAAGACUAGAGGGAGUGAAUGCUAUCCAAGGGGAUUUGAAGAUGAAGAAUUAGAGAAGAAAUACAUGCAGGCAGUUUACCAUCUCUUUAAAAAUCGUCCUCACUAGCAGCUUCAGGAGGGGCAAACAGGCAAAGGAAGGUUAUGUUAGAAUGCACUUGAAUAUGUCUGUAGGCUGACGGGAAGAUAGAAAAAUUCAUAUUGAUCCUCACAGGUUAAACACCUGCCUGACAUUUGAUAUUUUGAGCUGAAGCAGGAAUUUAAUCCUAUUUUCCUUUGACUGCAAAGACUACAAGGUAAUCCGCCCUCUGCAAAUCUCUGUCGGGCCCAUAGGUGAAGGAAAGUGGGGAGAAAAAGAAGAAAACUGGAGUAGUAACUGCAGAGGAUCUGGUGGCUGGAUAGGAUGCAACUCUUUGUCCUAAAGUGGUGUACCUUCCUCAUUGAUAGAAAAAAAAAAAAA